ACGCUGUAGGGGGGGGGCACCUCUUCAACACACGGGGUUCACCCACCCAGGGGGGGGGCACCUCUUCAACACACAGGGUUCACCCACCCAGGGGGGGGGCACCUCUUCAACACACGGGGUUCACCCACCCAGGGGGAGACCUCUUCAACACACGGGGUUCACCCACCCAGCCACUAUGAGUGCAAGCCGAGGCUGUGAGUUUUUAGAGAACUAUCCCAGGAUUGAAGUGGUUCUCUA